UUGUAUCGCUGAGGCGACGGGUUCCAGCUCAUUACUGGGCCGCUGUCAGCAUCAGGCCUCCGUCACCAGUCAGUUUUAUCCUCUGCUCUCUCUUCAUGUUCUGCUGGAAACCUGCAGACCUCAGGCGGCCCUCAUGGAGCUGGCCUCCCUCGGUCAGCUGGAUGCAGAGGAGGUUUCCACAGCUGCACUGGGAGCUCUGGGAGGAAUCUGGUUUUACUGUGUUGGGAUCUUCUCCAGGGAGCUGCUGACAUCCAGGAAAAAGUCGUUGGAGCUGCAGUGCAGGGGGUCCAUCAUGGCCGCUCACAGGAUCAGGACCGCCACCAACACCACCUCCCUGCCUCGCUGCAAAUCAGAGGGCACCCUGAUCGAUCUCAGUGAGGGGGUCUCAGAGGCCAGUCUGACUGAUGUCAAAGUGCCUUCUCCGAGUACCUUACGGUUGGAUACAACCGCUUCCUUUGGCGCCGCCAGGGAAGUUGUCGCCAUAAAGGACUACUGCCCGUCCAGCUUCACCACUCUGAAGUUCUCUAAAGGAGACCGGCUUUACGUGCUUGACUCGUCGGGGGGGGAGUGGUGGUAUGCCCACAACAGCAGAGAGAUGGGUUACAUCCCAGCGGCAUACGUUGAACCCAUCAGCUACAGAGACUCGUCCUUUAGUGACAGUGGAAUGAUCGACACGCUGGGAGACUCUAACGAGGAUGGGGCCAAAGAAUUGGACUUGUUAGGAGAGUGGACAGGAGUGAUUUUAAAACCAACUACUUUUCAAAAUGGAAAUCCUUUUGCUGUGACCAAUUCCUCCACAAACCCUUUUCUAAACAGCCCGCUAGAUCAGAUUAGCAAACAGAAUUCAGUUGACCUCCUUCUGUUUGAUACGCUCACUUCCUCUGGUCCCACUUCCACCAGAAACCCUGGAGACAAUGGUUUUAGUGGCAGUGCUUUCAAUGUGAACCCUAUGAGUCCCUCUGGCCAAACCUUCCAAAGAGACAACCCUUUUUUUAGAAGUAAGCGUUCCUACAGCCUGUCUGAACUGUCCAUCCUUCAGGCUCAGACCGACCCUCCUCAAGCUUCCAGCGGUUUCUUCGGAGGACUUAAAGCACCAGCACCAGAGCAGUUCCAGAGCAGGGAGGACUUCCGCACAGCUUGGCUCACCCAUCGCAAGUUGGCUAGGUCCUGUCAUGACCUGGAUUCGCUGGGUCAGAACCCAGGAUGGGGUCAAACUCAGCCAGUGGAGACCAACAUUGUCUGUCGUUUGGACAGUUCAGGUGGUGCGGUGCAGCUUCCAGACACCAACAUUAGCAUCUUUGUACCUGAGGGCCAUGUAGCACCAGGGGACACGCAGCAAAUCUCCAUCAAAGCUCUUCUGGACCCUCCACUGGAGCUCAACAGCGACCGCUGCACCACGGUCAGCCCGGUGGUGGAGAUCAAACUCAGCAACAUGGAGACCAAAACCACAAUCACCCUGGAGAUGAAAGUGUCAGUUGUUGUGAAAAUGGAGAGCAGACAGACGACGGAAGUCUUAUGUGUGAGAAGUGAUUGUAAGGAGGGGCCAUACACCCCUAUCCCACAGGCAUACAUGUACGGGGACACGGUCCAAGUGGGCCUGGAUAGCCUGGAGCCAUGCAUGUACGUCUGUGUUGUGGCCCAGGCCCAGUCGUUACUUCCUGAAUCCACGGUUUGGGAGAAUGUGGUCAAAAAGAUGACAUUAGGAGUUUAUGGUCCAAAACACAUCCACCCAUCCUUCAAAACUGUGGUUGCCAUGUUUGGCCAUGAAUGUGCUCCAAAGACCCUCCUGGUGAGCCAGGUGGGUAAACAGGCACAGGUUGCACCACCAGUUACUCUACAGCUUUGGGGAAAACAUCAGUUUGUUUUGUCAAAACCUCAAGACCUCCAUGUUGGUGUUUACUCAAACAUGGCAAACUACGAAGUAAAGGCCAGCGAGCAGGCAACGGCGGUCCGGGGUUUCCAGAUUAAAUUAGGCAAAGUCAGCAGGCUGGUCUAUAUGAUCUCCACACGCAACAUUGACGAAGUUUCAGACUUCACCCUAAGAAUCCAGGUCAAAGAUGACCAAGAAUGUAUCUUGGCUCAGUUCUGUGUCCAAACACCAACACCGCCCCCUAAAGCAGGUCCAAAGGCAUCAGCACAGCGGAGAUUCCUCAAGAAGAAGGAGGUGGGGAAAAUAGUUCUGUCUCCUCUUGCUGUUGCCACCAAAUACCCCGUUUUUCAGGACAGGAAGAUAAACAACCUGAAGUUUGGGAAGUUAAUCAAGACAGUGAUCAGGCAAAAUAAAAACCAGUACUUGCUGGAGUACAAGAAAGGAGACUUUGUAGCUCUGCUGAGUGAGGAGAAGAUCAAGCUGAAGGGCCAGUUGUGGACAAAGGAGUGGUACAUUGGGUACUAUCAGGGCAAAAUGGGGCUGGUUCAUGCUAAGAAUGUUCUAGUGGUCGGCAAAGUAAAGCCCAUUUACUUCAGUGGGCCUGACCUCACCACCUCCUCCUUACUGGAGCAAAUUCUGAAGCCCUGCAAGUUCCUCACAUACAUCUAUGCGUCAGUUAGAACAAUCCUGAUGGAGAACAUCGGGAACUGGCGAGUGUUUGCCGAUGCUCUUGGAUACGUCAACCUACCGCUGACACAUUUCUGCCGCACAGAGCCGGACAGCGAGCCAGAGAGGGUGGCUUCGGUCCUGGAGAGGCUAAAGGAAGACUGCAACAAUGCAGAGAGCAAGGAGAGGAAGUCCUUCCAGAAAGAACUUCUGACUGCUCUGCUGAAGAUGGACUGUCAGGGUCUGGUGGCCAGACUUGUCAUGGACUUUGUCCUCCUGACCACCGCUGUGGAGGUGGCGGGACGCUGGAGGGAGAUGGCCGAGAGGCUGGUUAAGGUUUCCCGCCAGCAGAUGGAUGCUUAUGAAGCGCCGCACCGCGACAAGAACGGCGUGGUGGACAUCGAGGCCAUGUGGAAGCCGGCGUAUGACUUCCUGGUCACAUGGGCCGCUCAGAUCGGUGACAGCUACAGGGACGUGAUCCAGGAGCUCCACAUGGGUCUGGACAAGAUGAAGAACCCAAUCACCAAACGCUGGAAGCACCUGACCGGCACACUGAUCCUGGUCAACUGCCUGGACGUCCUGCGGAGCUCCGCCUUCAGCCCCGCCGCCCAGGAGGACUACGCCAUCUGAUGGCAGGGAGGGCCACCUCCUUUUAGCCCGCUCCUCUGGAGGCGGCGUGUGGCUGCUCCUCUAAACCACACAGGAACCUCAGAGACCAACGACUCUAUUUUUCUACUUUAGUCGUGACGCAGCCUUUUUCUAACGCGGCACUUUAAACCUUUGUUGAUCAACUGUGGAUCAAACUGUAGAAGCUCCUAGCUUCCUUGCUGUUAGCUCCUAGCUAUUAGCUCCUAGCCCCCUUGCUGUUAGCUCUAAGCUUCCUAGCUUUUAGCUUCUAAGCUAUUAGCUUCCAAGCUGUUAGCUCCUAGCUUUUAGCUCUUAGCUGUUAGCUCUUAGCUUCCUAGCUUUUAGCUUCUAAGCUAUUAGCUUCCAAGCUGUUAGCUCCUAGCUGUUAGCUCCUAGCUAUUAGCUCCUAGCUAUUAACUUCCUAGCUAUUAGCUCCUAGCUUAUUAGCUAUAAUUCCUAGCUAUUAACUCCUAGCUUCCUAGCAAUUAGCUCCUAGCUCCCUAGCUAUUAGCUUCCAAGCUUUUAGCUCCUAGCUUCCUAGCUAUUAGCUUCCAAGGUUUUAGCUCCUAGCUUGCUAGCUAUUAGCUCCUAGCUUUUAGCUCCUAGCUUCCUAGCUAUUAGCUUCCAAGCUUUUAGCUACUAGCUUCCUAGCUAUUAUCUUUCAAGCUUUUAGCUCCUAGCUUCACAGCUAUCAGCUUCCAAGCUUUUAGCUCCUAGCGUCCUAGCUAUUAGCUUCCAAGCUAUUAGCUCCUAGCUGUUAGCUCAUAACUUACUAGCUAUUAGCUUCAAAGCUUUUAGCUUCUAUCUUCCCAGCUAUUAGCUUCCAAGCUUUUAGCUUCUAGCUUCCCAGCAAUUAGCUUCCAAGCUUUUAGCUCCUAGCUUCCUAGCUAUUAGCUUCCAAGGUUUUAGCUCCUAGCUUGCUAGCUAUUAGCUCCUAGCUUUUAGCUCCUAGCUUUCCAGCUAUCAACUUCCAAGCUUUUAGCUCCUAGCUUCCUAGCUAUUAGCUUCCAAGCUUUUAGCUCCUAGCUUCCUAGCUAUUAGCUUCCAAGCUUUUAGCUCCUAGCUUCCCAGCUAUUAGCUUCCAAGCUUUUAGCUCCUAGCUUCAUAGCUAUUAGCUUCCAAACUUUUAGCUCCUAGCUUCCCAGCUAUUAGCUUCCAAGCUUUUAGCUCCUAGCUUCCUAGCUAUUAGCUUCCAAGCUUUUAGCUCCUAGCUUCCCAGCUAUUAGCUUCCAAGCUUUUAGCUCCUAGCUUCCUAGCUAUUAGCUUCCAAGCUUUUAGCUCCUAGCCUCAGGGGCCUGGUCAUGCUGCAGGAUGGUCCCUGAGGAUGGGGGCGGCUGUCCCUGCUGAGGUCCUUCUCAUUUCAGACGUCCAGAUGUUUCAGCUGCAUCCUGUCCAGAUGUUUCUGAAGGUUCCCUAAAACAUUUAUUCAUUGAUCAUUUGCAGAAAGUUUGAAUCUGUUUAAUGACUUUUCCUGUUCCUUUGAAGGAGCUGGUAUGGUGGCUGAGAGGGCCCAGUUUCAGUUCAUUUCAAUAAACUGAUGUUGUCACCUUACAGCCGUCUGAUCUUCUCUCCAAUCGGUGUCUCUUAACAUUAGAUGGUUUUCUGGGUCAGUCCGAUUUUAGUCCAGACUAAGAUGCCAUCCAACGGUUCUCACACCAGGAGCUUAGUCUACUUUCGGGUUAAACGAUGGUGGGCAGGAAAACAUGGUUUAAUGCAAUGAUCAUCAGAGCUGGGAGUAAGGAUUGACCCAAAGCAUCACCACACCCCCACUAUGUCUCCUCCUGUGUCGGUGGUGGAUCAGGAGCUCAGCUUCUCCCUCCUGGGUUCCCUCAGAACCAUCAGGACGUUUCUUUGACCAACGGGUCUUUUUGGGUCUUCGGUCAGAAUCUCUGGGCUCCAUUUGGACCGCGGGAUGAAUCCUGAACUCUGACCUUGCCUGAUCCAUGUGAGGUCUGCAGCAGUUCUCCUCCUUGAUGAAGCGGCGUCUGCUCCUGGAGUAUUUCGUCUCUGUCUUGCUAAGCCUACUUCAUGUUGCCAGACAGGUUCUAUCUGCUUUGCAGGGAGUUAUCAGCCUAAUUGGGGCAGAUUAAAUGA